rnacentral:rRNA from 1 species
AGUGAACGCUGGCGGCGUGCUUAACACAUGCAAGUCGAACGAGAACGGAAUAUAGCUUGCUAUAUUUGUCAGCUAAGUGGCGCACGGGUGAGUAAUGUAUAGAUAACCUGCCCUUAAGAAAGGAAUAACAGUUGGAAACGACUGCUAAUGCCCUAUAUGCCUUUAAUACAUAAGUAUGCAAGGGAAACGCUUUAGUGCUUAAGGAUGGGUCUGUAUGGUAUCAGCUUGUUGGUGAGGUAAUGGCUCACCAAGGCUAUGACGCCUAACUGGUUUGAGAGGAUGAUCAGUCACAAUGGAACUGAGACACGGUCCAGAGUCCUAAGGGAGGCAGCAGUGGGGAAUAUUGCACAAUGGACGAAAGUCUGAUGCAGCAACGCCGCGUGGAGGAUGACACAUUUCGGUGCGUAAACUCCUUUUAUAUAGGAAGAUAAUGACGGUACUAUAUGAAUAAGCACCGGCUAACUCCGUGCCAGCCGCCGCAGUAA